GGAAAAGGGAAGGGGGGAAGAGAGGAUAAUCAGCCCACACUCAGCAUCAGCUCCAUUCAGUGCUGAGACCAUAAUACCCAAUGCUCACUUUUACAGGUAAUUUAGAAAUAUAAUGUUUCCAAUAUAUAAGUACUGAAAUGUGUGUUUUGUUCCCAUUUUUAACCAAAAUUCACUGUUUCUUCAGAAGUGUUUGUUUCACACUUCUUUCUGUACCCACGGUGGAAUAUUUCAGUGGCUAUUAUAGCAUUUUCCUGUUAACAAAGGUGUAGUGUACAGAUGUGUAAAAAAUUGAAAAGUAUUCAAUAAUGCUUUCAAUAAUACUCAUUGCCAGCAUUCACUCCUGUAAUAUCAUUCUGCUUCUGCUGAGAAAGGGAGCUCUGCAGCUUCUCCAAUUGCCAGUGAAGGAGGUGUGAAGAAAUGUUCCAAGCAAUGUUCCCAGUGUGAAGAACUGCGCAACAGAGUGCAGCACUGCACAUGACCAUCAUUACAGAAAUUGCUUUGUUUGCAAUUCUCACUUACAGCUAAAGGAGAACAAAGCAAUCUUUCAAGUCUGGGUGGCUUUUUUUUUUUUUUUUUCUGUGUGCCUUGUCUAAAACGAACACAGUCUCAGCAUUUUAAUCCAACCUACAAAACUUCUUGCAGCAGUGAUGCCUCUUUCAUUUUGCCACAGCCUGUGGCAUUUUGCAUCCACAACACCUCUUAACGAGUCUGAAUAAAACACAGGGAUUGAUGUAAAAACCUAACUGUGAAGAAACACCUCCUCCUGCAACUCACUUGGGGGGUUUUCUAUGCUGUCAGUGCUGUGCUGAACUGUAAUGCAUUUCUCCUUCCAAUAUAUUUUUUGUAAGGUCUGGAUGGUAUACAAGUUCCAUCAUACAGAAAUAAACAUACUGGUUGGCUCUUCAGCAUGGAAGCUCAGGGAAAUACGGCUUUAUAAAAUUUAAUUUGCAAACUGAAAUGCAGUGACCAAGAAUCUCUGCAGUUAGUAACCAAUUCCAGAUUUGGGGCUGAUGGUGAAUGUCUCAGAGCCUCUUCCUCGCCCCCAAAAAACGCCGUCCGUGCGUAGCAGCGCUGCAGUACCACACUGCGUCCAGCAGGUGGCGCUGCUGCUCACAGGCGGCGGUGGGGCGGGCACAUUCAAAUCUACCGCGGCGCUGAGCCAAUCGGCUGCCACCGGGCGCGGAGCGGGGGCAGAUGGGAGCAGAGCGGUCCGGUCCCAGGGCUCGCUCGGGAGCGCGAACGGAGAGAGAAGAGACAGCGUAGAGCCUGCGGGGGAGGAUAAUCGAGAGCUGUAGGUCUUGAUAUCGCUUCCCACUCUGAGCACGAGGAGGAGGCUCGGGAUGCCAAUCUGGUUCUCCAUGUCAUGGUACACGUGCGCCUGUGUUUCCGGAAGUAGUGUCUGAUUGUCGUGCACUCCUACGCCGCCGGUUCGCUAUUUUCUAUGGUUUUCAGUCCUCCGGAAAGUGAAACGCAUGCGCCCGGCAACACGGAAGUAGCGUCUUUCUGCAGGGACAGCUGUACGCCAGCAGUACGCUGAUCUCUAUUGUACCCGGUCCUCCUGACUGUUCUACGCAUGCGCACCGCAAUGCGCAGGUGCCGCCGCUCCGCACGCGUGCGCAAUUCACGUGGAGGACCGAUGACCAUAGAGCCUGCUGGAACCGGGAGCCUAGCGCGGCCUGCAGGAAGUCGCUGUGUUUACUUCCUGCUGCGUUGGGUUGCAGCUACGUGGCGGCGCGGCGGGCGCGAUGCGGAUCUUGAUGGUGAUGCUGCAGCCGAGGCCCUGUGAGCAGCAGUUACACUGCAGCACCCUGCUACCCACAACGGCCUUCCAGUUAACUCUUCUCUGUAUUCUUAGAACGCUUCUUGGAGCAGUGCUGCAUCCAUCAGUGGUUUUUGUUCUCACAGCCAUGAACUCUGCAUGGGGAAGAACUGAUCAGUCUGCUCCAGUGGCAUGGCUGUAGAUGAAAAGAGAAUUGGACAGGUUACCUUGCUUCUUGAGCAAGUGCCUCGGUCACUGGACUAAUGGAGAGCUGGGAGUGAAUGCUGCUGGAUGUUCAGAAACACACAAAUUUGGCAGCAUAUAUUACACUGAGAGAAAUACCUGGACUGGGGCCUUCGUGUGGCUCAGAGGAACACUUCCUAUCUGCACAAUGACUGGACUUAAACCAGCUUUUUGUAAACCACCCUCACCAUUCUGACCUAGAACAGGAACAGGACUUUAUGGCAUGUUCUUACUGCAAAAUAAGCCAACGACAGAGACCUAGCUCCACUUUGGGACCUAUCACUAAUACUGUACAACUCUUGAACUGUGCUAAAUAGCAAUUUAUGAGAGAGAUCUAGUGCACCACAGAGCUGGCAAUGGAGAGUGCACAUGAGACUGUAUCAGAACUGGUUCCUCAAACUCUUUGCUGCCUUCUUCAGGUUUUAUACUUCAGACUGUAUACCCCGAUGCUACACUGUGCAGUAGGCAGUGUAAGCUCUCCAAGGUCGUAGUGCUUGCUCUGUCCCAGGCACUAUGAACUGGAAAAACACACAUGCAUAAAAACCCCAUUUAUUAUGAGAGGGAUCUGAUGCAGCCCAGCUGAAAUCCAGAGUUAGAAGUCAGAUAAUGGGGAGAUAUCCAAACCUGAGUGUUCCUGUAGGUGAAUCGAAAACCUGUAGCAGGAAUUACUCACAUCUAUAAAAAUAAGAAUUAAAGUAUCGUCAUAUUUUAAGCCUUAAAGGAGAGCUGUAGUUAAAACCAGACUGAAAUUUUACACCAAAUCCUAAGUGAAGAAAAAAAAUCUCUCCCUAAGGAUGCUGUAUUUCCCUUGUGUGCUUCACAGGGAAAGCCCAGUACUUUGGAAACAUCACUAGUCCAAAAACCCAAAGACUUCUAUUUGCUCAAGGAUUCUCAUACAUUCCUUCCUGGGGUAAAACAAACUGGUAAUCCUCACUGUUAGAGAAACGAUGUUUAUCAAUACAUAAACACAAACUAUUUAUUAAAAAAAUAAAUAAAUAAGGGCAAAGCUUAAUUUAAACCUACUACAGUUAAUGAAAGCCCCCAGUAGCCUGAGAUCCAGCUUCUCCUAACCCAGAAGAGCGGAGGCAACAUUAGCAUCGUCACACUCCUGCCCUUAGCCAUGACCCCUUUGGCACAAGGUUGAAACGCAGAGGGAGGGCAGGCUGCACUGCAGCAAUGCAGGGUACAAACUGCCGGUGCAGAUGCAGGACAACCACUGCACACCACCUCCUGUAUAAACCCCACUACGUUUCGUGUACAGAAAAUCGUUGCUGUGGAAAUACAUUCUUGUUGUUGUUGUUGUUGUUGUUGCUUUUUCCAUGCUGCAACAGCAGUUUUCCAGUACCUCUCUCCUUUCCUUUUGUUGUUCAGUUCUUUCUGGGUGAGGUGUCCCCAUCUCUGUAAAAUGUUUGGAGUUUGGCGGCUGGGAAGUAUUGCACAGGUGUGGAGGAAGGGAAAAACGUGGUCAUGUGUGGAUGGGGUGGUUUCUUCCUGACGGUGUGAAGAACCCAGCUGUUCUUGCAAUUGAAAGGCUCUGUCUUGCUGGCCAUACAUAAUCAGGUCUCCAUCUAGACUUUGCGUGACUGUGACGUACAGGAUGAGAGCCCGUGUUAGCAAAAGUAACCGAGCGAUGAGGUCAGUGCAGGACAAUGGGAUAAACUGAACUCUGUUACGACCGACCGUCAUGUUGAUAAAUGCAGCUUCAUUGUUUUUUAUAAACAAAAUUAAACUUAAUUUGCUUCACAGUGGCUAAGGUGCCGUUAAUUCAAAACCCACCAAAUUACUCACUGGACACAGUUAAUAGUCAGCAGACCACAUAGACCAGGCUUUGAAAGCAUUUAAUAUUCACUGAAGUGCUGCUUGUAUCCAAUUAUAACUCACUACUUGCCAUCUUAAUAAUUUAAAUCUGUCCACUCUUUAGAGAGGGGGGAAAAAAGCACUAAUCAAAGACAUGAAUGCACCUUUUGCUUUUGACAGCAUUAAAUUAAAACUAAAUGGUAGAUCUUGAAUGAGUUACUCUGCAAGAAUAAAGGCAUUAAUGAGGUAAUUUCAUUAUAGAGGCUCAUCCAAGCCUAUGUGAAAACAAGGGAAGUAAAUGGAGAGGAAAGCCACCGAGGAAAUUAGGGUUCCUUCCACACUAAUUAAUGUUUUGGGGCAUUUAGUAUAGGCACCAAAUUAACUGCUCCAAAGAACUCCAUUGAAGAAAAAAAAUACAUUGUUGCCCUGCCAUGUAAUUAGAAGACAGUACAAGGAGAACACUUAAUGAGUAUAAAGCCAGCCUUUAACUUAUUCUGCCCAGCUUCUGAAAACAUGCCAUUGUGGAGGCCUAAGUUUAAGGAAGCAACAGGCGUACAAUAUAGGAUUGUUUAGGUCCUUCUGUUCGGUGAGCUGUAAACAGGUAGCCCUGAAUGAGAGACUCUGGGACUCCUGGGAGGCCCGGCUUCCCAGCAAAAAAAGACUUAAAUGCAUCCAGAGGGAAGUAAAGAAGGUGAAUAGGCCCAGCGCAGCUCGCCCAGUGAAUGCUCACUGCUGUCUUAAAAGAUUACAUGAUGUUGUGCCACCCCCUCUCAUUGAGUUAUCUUUACACUGCUUUUGUCUCCUCUAAUUGGAGCUGAUGAGGUGCUAAUUGGUUGCUUUUUAAAAAAAGCACUGCUUAAGCACUGGCAAGCAGAGUAAGACAGCGUGAGUGGAGUUAAUGAGGG
ensembl:lncRNA